rnacentral:lncRNA from 1 species
AUACGCACAUAUGUGCCUUCCAAUCCCAGCACGAUCUCACGAUUCUGCCUCCUCAUCUCUGUCGUUUCGGAGGACGACGGGGUGUUGACGCCGGCGCCGGCGCCGGCCGCUGAGUUCAUCUUUGCCAAAAUGGCAGAAGAAGUUUGGACAUUGCGGUUUUUCAAGCAUGAUCAUGGUCCAGGGGCAAUGGUUGUUGAGGAGCCAAUGGAUCGAGACCUUGUCUGCUUUUUCAAUAUGGUUGAGAUAAUAGAGAAGCUUGGGUACCAGAAAAGUGAUGAAAUGUUUUUUGCCCAACCUGGAUGUUACUGCCGCACAUCAAUGACAAGAAUCAAGGGUGACAGCAAUGUCAUGGACAUGCUUAGGGAAAAUGAUAGCAUAAAUAAAGUUGACAUACAUAUUUUUGACAGAAAAGUUGCCUCAAGCAGUGCACUAGAAGAGGAUGUUGUUGCAGAUGCCACUGAUAAUGUGGAGGCAAAUAAAAAUAGAGAUUUAGAAGAAAAAGGAUCUGAACAGUUGAAGAACAGUGAUGAAGACUUGUGGAUGGACCAGGGUCGCGUGAGCCAGAAAACCAAGCUCAAAGAUCACAUGAGCCAAGUAGUCAAGAUCACAUCAAUAACCAUCAACCAAGUUCAUAUCAGCCAAUCAAUGAAGGGGGAACAAGCAGGGGAAGGAAACUUGAUUCAAGGAGGGGGUGUGCUAUAGGAAGCACCAUGAAGGAAAAUGCUAGAGGAACUACAGACAGGGGAAGAGAAAAUGCAAGAGGAACUAUAGUCAGGGGAAGAGGAAAUGCUAGAGGAACUAUAGUCAGGGGAAGAGGAAAUGCUAGAGGAACCACAGUUAGGGGAAGAGGUGUAGGGCACACUUCCCUCAACCAAUGGAUCCCAUAGAGAAUUCAUCCAUGUGUUCCUCAGUCGUUAAUUAUCUUUAUUUAGUUGUUACCAAGGAUUUUAUUAUGUGACUUGUUUUCUGGUCAGUGAUCACCAUUC